AUUGAACGCUGGCGGCAGGCCUAACACAUGCAAGUCGAACGAGUGGCGGACGGGUGAGUAAUGUCUGGGAAACUGCCUGAUGGAGGGGGAUAACUACUGGAAACGGUAGCUAAUACCGCAUACCAUCAGAUGUGCCCAGAUGGGAUUAGCUUGUUGGUGGGGUAACGGCUCACCAAGGCGAAGUUCCCUAGCUGGUCGGCGAGGAUUACCAGCCACACUGGGACGGAGACACGGUCCAGACUCCUACGGGAGGCAUCAGUGGGUAAUAUUGCACAAUGGUGGAAAGCCUGAUGCAGCCAUGCCGCGUGUAGUAAGAAGGCCUUCGGGUUGUAAAGUACUUUCAGCGGGGAGGCGUUACCCGCAGAAGAAGCACCGGCUAACGCCGUGCCAGCAGCCGCGGUAAUAC
rnacentral:rRNA from 1 species